rnacentral:rRNA from 1 species
UACGUAGGGGGCUAGCGUUAUCCGGAUUCACUGGGUUAAAGGGUGCGUAGGCGGGCAGGUAAGUCCGUGGUGAAAUCUCUGAGCUUAACUCAGAAACUGCCAUGGAUACUAUUGUCUUGAAUAUUGUGGAGGUAAGCGGAAUAUGUCAUGUAGCGGUGAAAUGCUUAGAUAUGACAUAGAACACCAAUUGCGAAGGCAGCUUACUCACAGUUAUUGACGUGAGGCACGAAAGCGUGGGGAUCAAACAGG